UUUUGUAUUUUUAGUAGAGACUGGGUUUCACCAUGUUGGCCAGGGUGGUCUUGAUCUCUUGGCCUCGUGAUCCACCCACUUCGGCCUCCCAAAAUGCUGGGAUUACAGGCGUGAGCCACCAUGCCCAUCAAUCCAAUUUAAUUUUAUACUCAUAUGGAUAACACUUGUCCUAGCUUAAUUAUUGAAUUGUCCAUCUUUUCUAGCACUUGUUCUUCCUCUAUAAGAAGAUCUUGGUUUAUCUUGGCUCUUCCAUAUACAUUUUGGAAUCAUGUUGUCAAGGUCAAGAACUGUGAAGAUGCUGAAAUUUUUACCCUACUUAGGAAACCAACAUGCUAGUUCUGUGGAUGGAGUUCCACAAUGCUGGAAGAAGACAUGAACUCCUGGGUCAGAGAUAAAGGACUUUACUUAAGGAAGAGCAAGCAGAAAGCAAGUCCCUUCCCUUUGAGAUUGCCAACAUUCUCAACAAGUAUCCCUGUGUGCUUUUGAUGAAGAGGAAGGAAGAGUAUGGAAGAUUUCACAGGAUAUUCUGUGGUCAGGCCUGCAAGUACAUGUGUCACUUCUGCCCACAUUCAUAAGGACAGAGCUAAGUCUCAUAAAUACAAGGAGGGUGAAAAUGUGAUUUAACUGUAUACCUAGCACAGAAAGGAGAAUCAGAAUCCCUGCCACAUUUUCUAAUGUAACUACAUUAUGGUCAUAACAUGUGUUCUGUAUGAUACCAGUUCUUUGAAAAAUUUAAGACACAGC
rnacentral:lncRNA from 1 species